rnacentral:lncRNA from 1 species
ACUCAUAGACCACAUCUUGAAGAAACUUCUUCCCAUUCGGAUCCAUAACCCAGAUCUCUGUUGGUAGUUCUAUAGUGACAGUCACCUCAAUGAGCAUUCUGGCAUAAGAAAUCAGUGUUUGUUUUGUGGUACAUUCAUCCGAAAAUAUUGGUUUCCCUAAUACACAAGCAAUUCUGCUUAGAGAUCUCAUACCCCAGCAAGACAUUGGUAGUUUCGGAAACUUUACCCACAAUGGUAUUUCAGUCGGGAACUCUUCUGAGAAAUCAAAUUCAGGUGUCCAUUGUUUGNNNNNNNNNNNNNNNNNNNUCGGGAACUCUUCUGAAAAAUCAAAUUCAGGUGUCCAUUGUUUGAGUAUCAUAGGCCUAUUGGCUAUUGAGUAAGGACCUGCACACAGUAUCUCUUUGGCAUCAGCAACUGCUUUGAAUUUAACAAUGUAAUACCCUUCGUCAUGAUAGAACAAUUCGGGUGCAGGGACAUGGGACCAAUGGUGAUUGAUGAAUCUCCUCAUCGCGUUGAAGCCAGGACCGUCUCCUAGGAUGUAUACCACUAAGGCACACUUCCAUUUGGCUUCCUCCUCUUCCACCUCCGCUUUAUCCAGUUGUACUAUAGGCUGUCCGUCAA